rnacentral:misc_RNA from 1 species
CCUUUAUAUUGUGCCUUAUUCUGUGGAUUUUCUAGUACAAAUUCUUAGAAAAAAGUAUUUCAUUCUUUCAGGAAGUGAAUGGAUCAAUGUGCGUCAGGUAGGUAUGCAAAUUAGUUUCCAUGGCACACCACGGUAGAUUCGGUAAAAGGGAACGAUAGAGGGGAAAAAGGUUAUUUUGUAUACAAAAUACAAUCAGCAAUAUGACGUCCAACAAAUCAGUAUCGCUUUUAAGCUAAACAAGCAUGGAAAAUACCUGAAUACACCUAGCUGUGAGACCCGCGUGUCGCAAGAAGCUUCUAAUUGAUGACACCUCAUAAAAUCAUGAGGCGACCAACAGUAAUUUGUUCAGGAAAGUUGCUUCGCGUACUCGUGGUAUUUGUAAUAAUUUCCCUUUACUUUUUCUUCAAUACACUUCAAUAUGACAAAUAUCUACGAAAUCCUAAUCUCAAGUGUCAUUAUACAAAACAAGAGCAGAAGCGCUUAUUGCAACUAGCAUAUGAAAUUCACACGAUUCUAGAUGAGCUUGAACUCGGGCAUUGGCUAAUGUAUGGAUCAAUUUACGGAGCUCUUCGUUAUGAGAAGCCAUUGCCUUGGGAUUAUGAUGUCGAUUUUGGAAUUUACGGUGAAAAGUUUACCGAAGAAAAGAAAUCCAUGAUUUUUCGUCGAUUGAAAGAAAAUGGUAUAGGUUAUGUCGACCACCUGGGACAAAGCGGUGUGAUAUGGUGUACAAGAUCUGGUGCUAAAGUUGACAUUUUCCUGUUUUUUGAGCACGGCNAUGGUAUGAUGAAGAGAACAGGUUGGGAGCCAUGGCUUCUUUUCAUGCAAUACAGAUAUUGGCACUCUUUUCCCGCUGCACUCGUCAAACCACCUUUGCCAAAGACGCGGUUUGGAUUUUUCCAUGUACCAUUACCUCGUGGUGGUGUUGAAAUUACCAGACAUAUCUACAGGAACGAUUGGUGGAAAAUAGUGAAACCUUUACGAUGUAAGUAAUAGAAACAGUACAGAAGGAAACCAACGGAUGAUAUAUAUCUAUAUAUAACUGAUUGGUAAUGACUCAACGAAUGUUGCGGAAAACAACUGAGUUAUAACUGACUGUCUGGAGUCUAGUAUGAUAAACCUUCAGCAACAACAACAACAAAAAAGAAAAAAGAGCAUUUCAAUACUACGUAAUGGAACUUUCUAAACAAGAAUUAAUGCAGUUUAUCAUAGUGAAUCAAAACUUUUAACAAUUGUAUUCGGGCCAGUAAAUAAUUCAAUGCUAAACAUUCCGCUUCGCAUUUGCAUUUCCACACCUCAGAGUCUUAGCUGACUAGGCCCUCAUUUUGUGUGUUCGAUUCUCAUAUGCGCGUUUAGCGUCCGUUGUACCAAUAGUUACUGAUGCAGCAUUUUAUUGCGCACUUUUCUUAUCAUAUACGGAUGGUAAGAAAGCCGUUUUCAACAAGUUUUUCAGAGUAAAUAUGUUAUUAUGACUGGUACUUAUAACAGUGGAAGAGAAAGCGUCAGUUGGCCUUAAUGGUUUCCUUUGGGUAUUAAGAGAAGCAGACUUGUCGAAAAAUACUAAUGAUAACGGUUUUCAUUGAUAAAUAAAAUUUCUACUAUAAACAUU